rnacentral:rRNA from 1 species
GAGUUUGAUCGUGGCUCAGGACGAACGCUGGCGGCGUGCUUAACACAUGCAAGUCGAGCGGAAAGGCCACUUCGGUGGUACUCGAGCGGCGAACGGGUGAGUAACACGUGAGUAAUCUGCCCUCCACUUUGGGAUAGCCACCGGAAACGGUGAUUAAUACCGGAUAUGACCUUCGCCUGCAUGGGUGUUGGUGGAAAGUUUUCGGUGGGGGAUGUGCUCGCGGCCUAUCAGCUUGAUGGUGGGGUAAUGGCCUACCAUGGCUUCGACGGGUAGCCGGCCUGAGAGGGUGACCGGCCACACUGGGACUGAGACACGGCCCAGACUCCUACGGGAGGCAGCAGUGGGGAAUAUUGGACAAUGGGCGGAAGCCUGAUCCAGCAACGCCGCGUGAGGGAUGACUGCCUUCGGGUUGUAAACCUCUUUCAGCACAGACGAAGCGAAAGUGACGGUAUGUGCAGAAGAAGCACCGGCCAACUACGUGCCAGCCGCCGCAGUAAU